UUCGAAUCCCGCACGACCCACCAUUUCAAAAGUAAAAAGAGAUAGGUAAGACGUGUGGGUGAGAACCGUCAAGGUUCGAGUCGAGCGAAAGCGAGACAACGUUGCGAAGCAACGGCCCGAAGGGCGAGGCGUAAGCCGAGUCAUCCCGCACGACCCACCA
rnacentral:sRNA from 1 species